UUGGUGGACCAUGCAGUCGCUAGGGUGCUCACUAUGGGCACCUUAGAGGAAAGUCCGGGCUCCAUAGGACAUAACGCCGGGUAACCCCCGGGAGCUGUAAAGCUAUAGAAAGUGCCACAGAAAAUAUACCGCCUUGAAAGAGGUAAGGGUGAAAUGGUGGGGUAAGAGCUCACCGCAAUUUUGGUAACAAAAUUGGCAUGGUAAACCUCGUUAGGAGCAAGAUCAAGCAGCAAGAGGGCUGUCCACCCAUUUCUUGCGGGUAGGUCGCUCGAGCAUACUGGUAACAGUAUGCCUAGAUAGAUGACUGCAUAACACAGAACCCGGCUUAUGGUCCACCAUUUUC
rnacentral:RNase_P_RNA from 1 species